CCAAUAGCGUAUAUUAAAGUUGUUGCAGUUAAAAAGCUCGUAGUUGAACUUCGGGGUUCACCCAUUGGUCAGGCUUAAUUGUCUGUACUGGUGAGAUGAGUCUCUACCUUCUGAGGAACUUUCAUGCCAUUUAUUUGGUGUGGUUGGAAAUCAGGACUGUUACUUUGAAAAAAUUAGAGUGUUUAAAGCAGGCUAACGUCUGAAUACAUUAGCAUGGAAUAAUGAAAUAGGACGGAUUGAUUCUAUUUCGUUGGUUUCUAGGGUCACCGUAAUGAUUAAUAGGGAUAGUUGGGGGCAUUAGUAUUCAAUUGUCAGAGGUGAAAUUCUUGGAUUUAUUGAAGACUAACUACUGCGAAAGCAUUUGCCAAGGAUGUUUUCAUUAAUCAAGAACGAAAGUUAGGGGAUCGAAGACGAUCAGAUACCGUCGUAGUCUUAACCAUAAACUAUGCCGACUAGGGAUCGGAUGAUGUUAAUUUUUUAAUGACUCAUUCGGCGCCUUACG
rnacentral:ncRNA from 2 species